GUUUCAGAAGUGACCAUGAAAAGUUUUGAACAGAAAAACAAAAUGGAAGGAGGCCCAUGAAGUCUGCACUUUCCUGUAUUAGGAAAGGGUAGGCAGGCACAUGGCUGCAUCUUGAUGCUGCUUGUCUGACUAACCCUGCAGUCUGUAAGAAGAAAAGAGAAUGCUGAAGAAUGAGUGACUGAUUGGAAGCCUCAGCCCUGCUACUUCAUUGCCUGUUUGAUGUCUCUGAAUAACUACUGCAUACCUUCAAGCCUUAUUUAGUCCAUUUAUCUGUCAUAGUUCCAGCUUGGCUACCAGUUUUUUUGGUACCGGGUAUCGAACUCAGGACCUUGAGCUCAAGAGGCAGGUGGCGGAACCACUGAACUAAAUCUCCAGCCCAACUGAAAUAAUUUUUGUUUUUUGCUGUUGUUGUUGUUUUUGGUACUGGGCAUCGAACUCAGGACCUUGGGCUUUCGAGGCAGGCACCAGAACCGCUGAGCUAAAUCCCCAGCCCUAAUUUUUGAACAGAGGCUAGCAUGAAACUGCUGCUUGAAAUUCUUCCCACCUACAUCUCUGCAUGUGCUCUAAUGGAGCUGAUCCUU
ensembl:lncRNA